rnacentral:rRNA from 1 species
AAAUUGAAGAGUUUGAUCAUGGCUCAGAUUGAACGCUGGCGGCAGGCCUAACACAUGCAAGUCGAGCGGUAGCACAGAGAGCUUGCUCUCGGGUGACGAGCGGCGGACGGGUGAGUAAUGUCUGGGAAACUGCCUGAUGGAGGGGGAUAACUACUGGAAACGGUAGCUAAUACCGCAUAAUGUCGCAAGACCAAAGUGGGGGACCUUCGGGCCUCAUGCCAUCAGAUGUGCCCAGAUGGGAUUAGCUAGUAGGUGGGGUAACGGCUCACCUAGGCGACGAUCCCUAGCUGGUCUGAGAGGAUGACCAGCCACACUGGAACUGAGACACGGUCCAGACUCCUACGGGAGGCAGCAGUGGGGAAUAUUGCACAAUGGGCGCAAGCCUGAUGCAGCCAUGCCGCGUGUGUGAAGAAGGCCUUCGGGUUGUAAAGCACUUUCAGCGGGGAGGAAGGCGGUGAGGUUAAUAACCUCAUCGAUUGACGUUACCCGCAGAAGAAGCACCGGCUAACUCCGUGCCAGCAGCCGCGGUAAUACGGAGGGUGCAAGCGUUAAUCGGAAUUACUGGGCGUAAAGCGCACGCAGGCGGUCUGUCAAGUCGGAUGUGAAAUCCCGGGCUCAACCUGGGAACUGCAUUCGAAACUGGCAGGCUAGAGUCUUGUAGAGGGGGGUAGAAUUCCAGGUGUAGCGGUGAAAUGCGUAGAGAUCUGGAGGAAUACCGGUGGCGAAGGCGGCCCCCUGGACAAAGACUGACGCUCAGGUGCGAAAGCGUGGGGAGCAAACAGGAUUAGAUACCCUGGUAGUCCACGCCGUAAACGAUGUCGAUUUGGAGGUUGUGCCCUUGAGGCGUGGCUUCCGGAGCUAACGCGUUAAAUCGACCGCCUGGGGAGUACGGCCGCAAGGUUAAAACUCAAAUGAAUUGACGGGGGCCCGCACAAGCGGUGGAGCAUGUGGUUUAAUUCGAUGCAACGCGAAGAACCUUACCUGGUCUUGACAUCCACAGAACUUUCCAGAGAUGGAUUGGUGCCUUCGGGAACUGUGAGACAGGUGCUGCAUGGCUGUCGUCAGCUCGUGUUGUGAAAUGUUGGGUUAAGUCCCGCAACGAGCGCAACCCUUAUCCUUUGUUGCCAGCGGUCCGGCCGGGAACUCAAAGGAGACUGCCAGUGAUAAACUGGAGGAAGGUGGGGAUGACGUCAAGUCAUCAUGGCCCUUACGACCAGGGCUACACACGUGCUACAAUGGCAUAUACAAAGAGAAGCGACCUCGCGAGAGCAAGCGGACCUCAUAAAGUAUGUCGUAGUCCGGAUUGGAGUCUGCAACUCGACUCCAUGAAGUCGGAAUCGCUAGUAAUCGUAGAUCAGAAUGCUACGGUGAAUACGUUCCCGGGCCUUGUACACACCGCCCGUCACACCAUGGGAGUGGGUUGCAAAAGAAGUAGGUAGCUUAACCUUCGGGAGGGCGCUUACCACUUUGUGAUUCAUGACUGGGGUGAAGUCGUAACAAGGUAACCGUAGGGGAACCUGCGGUUGGAUCACCUCCUUA